rnacentral:misc_RNA from 1 species
UCCUCUUCAGUCACGUUUCAAGAGUGAUUCUCGCCUUGAGUGUCAGCGUGUUGGUGUUCCUGUGUUGCAUGCCUAGGUUGACGGAAAUUGGCCUCGAAUGAGUUGUAAUUUUUGCCUCUCACCCAUUCGUGGUGUCAGGUUGACGUGGAAGUACUGCCCAUUCUCCUUGAUUGCUUUGCCCUUUCGCGUUGCAAUCGUGGCCCAUGGGUUGCUACUAGUUCCCUCGGAUGCAGAACCUUUGAUUGGUGCACAGUAUGUUGCUGUUGUUUACUGUCGAAGCGUUCUUCGGUUGAUGCGUACGACUGCUGUGCCCGUCUUGGUCCCCUCUCUAACUAGUUUGGACGGGGCUCAUGCGGUGCCAGUGUCGCGAAGGAAUGCUACCUGGUUGAUCCUGCCAGUAGUCAUAUGCUUGUCUCAA